rnacentral:lncRNA from 1 species
UAUAUAUAUAUAUUAUAUACGUGCUCAUAAGAGAUAUAUAAAAUGGUAAAUGGAAUUGGUUAUGUAGAGAUACGCAAAUACAUUUAUUUAUUUUUUAGCCUGAAUGUAUAUAAGAAUAUAUACGGGUGUAUGAAAGAUAGAAUAAAGGAUAUGUAUGUAUAUAUAUAUAUAUAUAUAAUGAUACAUACACACACAUUAUAUAGUGGGGAAAAAUAUACGUAUGCAUAAUAGAGAUAAUAAGUUUUAUGUCUCUAUCUUAUAUUUAUGUCUGUUUAUCUAUAUAUGUAUGUAUAUGCACGUGUGUACAUGUGUAUGUUAUACACAUGUGUGUAUAUGCAUGUAGAUUUCACUCUGUAGAGUUUUAAUUAGUGCUAAUUUAAAUGCCCAUGCUAGACGGCUUGCUUCUCCCCCUUUGGUCAGCGGGCACCUAGCAAAAAAUUUUUUAAAAAAAAAGGAAAAACAAGAAAAACUCUAAUUCAGUCUUAAAUAGAUUGAAUACAAGGAGAGAGAAGAAGAAGAAGAAGAAGAAAGGCAAAAACAUUAAAGAAAGAAAGGAAGAGAGCUAAAAGAGUGUAUGUACACAGUUAUUGGUGAACCAAAGGUGGAAGAAGAGUGGUAUUUUAAAAAUAUUAUAUUAACUAACAACAAUAAGACGUCUACAUCUAUGUAACAACACACACAUAUAUGUAUAUAUCUUCUCCUCUUCUCCUUUCUAACUGUCGGCACAGUUGAAAAUUCCCUACAACUUUUUUUUAUUUUUAUCCAUUUGCCUCAAAAAAAAAACUCGACUCCGUUGAAACCAGGUAAAAAAAAAACUACCCGUAACAUUUGUGAGUUGUUUAAAGAGUUUAUUUUCUGAUUUUUGUUUGUAUCUUCGCGUAUUCCCGUGUUUAUAAUUUCUUUUUCCUAGAUGUACUGUCAUGUUUUUAUGUUUCUCUAUUAAUAAUCUAUUAAGGCUUCAUAAGAAGUUUUAUGAAAAUUUCCACGAAAGCUAAAUAUAAUGUUUCGUUUAACACUUUUAUUCUCUCUUUCUCCAAUUUAGCAUGUCAGGAGCCUUCAUCUUCUGAAAGGAAGAUUAUGGCAUUUAUAUGCAUUUUACAUACAUAUAUAUGUGAUUUUCCAAUUAUAUUUCAAUCUAUAUUAAUUAUCUCAAAUGUUUUCUUCAGCUUUUCUUUAAAUUUAUAAGCACACGCAUUUGUGUAGAUGUAUGUUUCUACAUAUAAUAUAUAAAUGCAUAUAUAUAUAUAUUAUAUAUAUAUAUAUAUGUAUAUAUAUAUGUGUAUAUAUUAAAAACGCAUGUCUGGUUGUAUGUAUGUGUGCAUGCAUUCAUAGGUUUCGUUUUACAAACAGCAGGUAUAGAACUCAAUGCAUAAGAUAAGGUGUAUAUGUUAUCAAUCAGCGGUGAAAGUGCAUCAGUGUCUCACAGACCUAGAGUUUCGUUUCGAAGCAAAACAUUCAUCGUAUAUGUGUCCAUAUGCACGUAUAUAAGUAUAUAUAUGUAUAUGUGGUGUAUGUAUGUGUUUAUACAAUAUAUGUAUAGACAAAUAUACAUAAAUAUAUAUGCAUAUGAUUAUAUAUGUACGUGUGUGUGUGUAUAUAUUUAUAUAUAUAUAUUGGAAAGCAUAUAAAGUAUAGGGUUGUAAGGUCCUUUCUGCCCUUCAACCUUUCUUUGGGGCUGUUGCCAUGAGUGGAUGCACCCAGUACACACUGUAAAGUGGUUGGCCAUAAGAAUGGCAUCCAGCCAUGUAAACCGGACCAAACGACAUUCUACAGACCAGAUUUGUGGCUGGACCAAGUCACCGGCUGAAUGAAAAUUAACAUGGUCGGGGAAGAACACCAUGGAUAGAACCAUAAAUGGCAGGCCUGGAAAGAAUGGAAGAAAGCAAGGAGGUAGCAACAAGGAAUAACAUGUUGCUCGAAGAGAAGCCAGAUGACAAGUGUCCAUAAUGUGGAGAGAAGCUGAAGGAGGCGGCUUGCAGUAGUUUUGAGCUGGGAAGAUCAGAAGAGUGAAGUGGCCGGAAUUGCAAUGCAGUGUGUUUAAGGUGAACCGAGAUGUUGUUGGGGUAAGGUGUGUUGAGAAUGGACAGGGAUGCACUUUCCCUAAUGGAUGAUGAGAAGAGAGAGGCUUGGAGAUGUCACUAUGAGGGAUUGAAGGGAGAUCCCAUAUGCUGAUGACCAAGUUCGAAUAACAGAGACUGGAAAGUUUAGAAAGAAAUUCCAGACAUGGAGAUGAAAUCUAGAAUGAAGUGGCCUUGGAGUAAAGUUUGUGAAGACUAAGGUUUUAUUUAAUAAGUAGAAAAGAAUACAGGACGCUGAUACCAACAAGAAAAUGGUCAUGCUCAAUAUGCAGACGAGGAGUUGGUAGGAAUUCCAUACCCUGUGUAAUCUACAGGUGUGCAAGAAGGUGUAGCGAAAUCAAAGGAGGCUGACAGGUUGUUGAAUGUGGAAAACAUGUUGAAGGAAGAGAAACUUCCAAGAAGUUUCUAACUGAAGGAUCAGCUGUUGUGGUAGAUUGUUCAUCAACAUCAUCAUUUAGCGUCCGUUGUCCAUGCUGGCAUGGGUUGGAUGGUUUGAUCAGGGCUGCAGAACUGGCAGAAACGUUAGCCAGGCGAAGUGCGUAACCGUAUUUCGUCUGCCGUUACGUUCUGAGUUCAAAUUCCGCCGAGGUCGACUUUGCCUUUCAUCUUUUCAGGGUCGAUUAAAUAAGUACCAGUUACGCACUGAGGUCGAUAUAAUCGACUUAAUCCGUGUGUCUGUCCUUGUUUGUCCUCUCUGUGUUUAGCCCCUUGUGGGUAGUAAAGAAAUAGAUUUGAUCAGGGCUGGAAAGCUGCAUCAGAUCCCAGUCUGGUUUGGCAUGGAUUCUGCAGCUGUAUGUCCUUCCUAAUGCCAACCACUCCAAGAGUGUAAUGAGUGCAUUUACAUGCUACUGGCACAACACUAAUAUCUGCCAUGACUACGAGUUUACUUGGCUUGAUGCGUCUUCUUCUCAAGCAAGACAUAAUGACCAAGAUCUUAGUCAUUGUCUCUGUGAGGCCCAACACUCAAAAGGAGUUCUUCACAUGCCACUGGCAUUGGCCACAUUGCCUCCACAAGGUCCAAUGUUCAAAAUGUGCUCUUUACAUGCCACUGGCAUGGCUGCCAGUUAUGUGACACCAGCAUCAUCCACAACUACUCAGGCACAGCAUAUCACCAAUGGUCUCGGUCACUAAUCAUUGCCUCUGUGAAGCCUAAAGUUCGAAGAUCAUGCUUCACCACUUUGUCCCAUGUCUUCCAAGGUCUACCUCGACCACAGGUUCCCUCUACAGUUAGAGAUUGGCACUUCAUUACACAGCUCUCUUUGUCCAUAUGCAUCAUAUGACCAUACCAGUGUAGUCACCUCUCUUGCAUACCUCAUCUGAUGCCUCUUAUACCCAACAUUUCUCUCAAGAUGCUUACACUCUGUCAAACAUGCACAUCCAGUGAAGCAUACUGGCUUCAUUUCUUUCAAGCCUUGGCUAUCACACCCCAUAUUUCACUGCCAUGUCGCAUAGCUGUUUGCACACAGGUAUCAUACAAUCUGUGUCUUUCACUCCGAGGGAGAGGCCUUUUGUUGCCAGCAGGGGAAGGAGCUCUCUGAACUUUGCCCAGCCUAUUCUUAUUCUCACAGCUACAUUCUUAGAGCAUCCACCUCCACUACUGACUUGGUCACUUAGAUAAUGGAAGCUAUCCUCUACCUCUUCUUUGGUCCCCUGGCAGUUGAUGGAGUUUAUUUUCUGUACACUUUCGGUGUUUAUUGUACUUGUGCAUCUUCCAAAUACAAAAGCUAUUUUCCCUGUUAGCCUUCCUCUGAUAUUGCUGCACCUCUUAUGAGUCCAAAGCUUACUCCGGCUACAUAUGGAGUUUCUACCUAUCCCUUUUCUACAGAUUCAGUAGGGCCAUCUACCUGAAGGGGUUUCUGAUUUGUCUGCCUUCCUAUUUACUAAGACUUUGGUUUUUGCUCGGUUAACUCUAAAGCCCUUUGAUUCUAGACCUAGGUUCCAUACCUGAAACUUCUCUAGUUCUGUUACUGAUUCAGCUAUAAGAACAGGGUCGUCAGCAUAGAGGAGCUCUCAGGAGCAGCCUGUCUUAAAUUCCUCUGUUAUUGCCUGGAGGACUAUGAUAAACAAGUGGGGGCUGAGGAUUGAUCCUUAGUGAACCCCAACUUGUACUCUGUAUUCUUUGCUGUACUCAUUACCAGCCCUCACCUUACUGUACAUAGCUUGUACAGCUCUCACCAACCACUCAUCUAUUCCUAGUUUCCACAUUGAGCACCAGAUAAGGGAUCGGGGGACCUUGUCAAAGGCUUUCUCCAAGUAAACAAAAGCUAAGCUACAAAGGUUUAUGUUUAGCUAUUUCUUCCGUAGCUGCCAUAUCAGAAAUAUAUAUUUCUUUACUACCCACAAGGGGCUAAACACAGAGGAGACAAACAAGGACAGACAAACGGAUCAAGUCGAUUACAUCGACCCCAGUGCGUAACUGGUACUUAAUUUAUCGACCCCGGAAGGAUGAAAGGCAAAGUCGACCUCGGCGGAAUUUGAACUCGGAACGUAACGGCAGAUGAAAUACGGCAACGCAUUUCGCCCGGCGUGCUAAUGUUUCUGCCAGCUCGCCGCAGAAAUAUAUCAGAAAUAUAGCACCAGUGGUGCUUCUCCCUGGCACAAAACAAAUGGUGAAAAUGGCCAUUAAGGAUACUCUUUCUGACCAUCAAAUGCAAGUUAUUUUCAACACCUAUGCCAGGUGGACCCAACUGGUUUCCUCAUAUCUUAUGCUGAAUCGCUAAGUUACAGAGAUGUAAACACUAACAUCAGUUGUCAAGCGAUGGUGGUGGGGACAAACAGACAGAAAUGCAAAUACAUACACACACACAUAUAUAUAUACACACAUAUACGACGGGCUUCUUUCAGUUUCUGUCUACCAAAUCCACUCACAAGGCUUUGGUCAGCCCGAGGGUAUAGUAGAAGACACUUGCUCGAGUGAACCCUGAACCAUGUGGUUGGGAAGCAGGAUUCUUACCACACAGCCAUACAUAGAGUUAACUUUGACUCUUAUUUUUAGCAAUCACUGGUGCUAUUUUGCACCCUUUAUUUAUAUAUAUAGGCGCAGGAGUAGCUGUGUGGUAUGUAGCUUGCUUAUCAACCAUAUGGUUCCGGGUUCAGUCCCACAGUGUGGCACCUUGGGCAAAUGUCUUCUACUAUAAUCUCGGGCCAAUCAAAACCUUGCGAAUGGAUUUGGUAGACAGAAACUGAAAGAAGCUCGUUGUAUACGUAUAUAUAUAUGUGUGUGUGUGUUUGUGUACCUGUGUUUGCCCUUCCACCAUCGCUUGACAAGCGAUGCUGGUGUGUUUCCGUCCCCGUAACUUAGCGGUUCAGCAGGAGUGGCUGUGUGGUAAGUAGCUUGCUUAUCAACCACAUGGUUCCCGGUUCAGUCCCACCACAUGUCACCUUGGGCAAGUGUCUUCUACUAUAGCCCCAGGUCGACCAAAGCCUUGUGAGUGGAUUUGGUAGAUGGAAACUGAAAGAAGCCCGUCGUAUAUAUGUAUAUAUAUGUGUGUGUGUGUAUAUGUGUCUGAGUUUGUCCCCCCAACAUUGCUUCACAACCGAUGCUUGUGUGUUUGCGUCCCCGUAACUUAGUGGUUCGGCAAAAGAGACUGACGGAAUAAGUACUAACUAGGCUUACAAAGAAUAAGUCCUGGGGUUGAUUUGCUCGACUAAAGGCGGUGCUCCAGCAUGGCCACAGUCAAAUGACUGAAACAAGUAAAGGAGUAACUGAUUUCUUUAACUCAAAGCCACAAACUUUUCAGCAAACACAUCAUGUGAUCACAUUAACAUUUAGUCAUUAACUCCCUGCUGAUUGGUUGAUUGCAAGGACAGAUUUUAUUGGCUUUAAACUAUUGGUGGUAUAACAUCAAACUGCUUUAAAUAUUUGACUUCACUUUGUGUUACCUCUAAACAAAUUGACCCCAGGGCUUAUUCUUUGUAAGCCUAGUACUUUAUUCUAUCGGUCUCUUUUGCCGAACCGCUAAGUUACGGGGACGUAAACACACCAGCAUCGGUUGUCAAGCGAUGUUGGGGGGACAAACACAGACACACAAACAUAUACACACACACACACACACACACACACAUAUAUAUAUAUAUAUAUAUAUAUAUAUAUAUAUAUAUAUAUAUAUGACAGGCUUCCUUCAGUUUCUGUCUACCAAAUCCAUUCACCAGGCUUUGGUUGGCCCAAGGCUAUAGUAGAAGCCACUUGCCCAAGGUGCCACACAGUGGGAAUGAACCUGGAACCAUGUGGUUCAUAAGCAAGCUACUUACCACACAGCCAGUCCUAUGCCUAUACUAUAUACUCUUUCUUUUUACUCUUUUACUUGUUUCAGUCUUUUGACUGCGGCCAUGCUGGAGCACCGCGUUUAAUCGAGCAAUUCAACCCCAGGACUUAUUCUUUGUAAGCCCAGUACUUAUUCUAUCGGUCUCUUUUGCCGAACCGCUAAGUAACGGGGACAUAAACACACCAGCAUCAGUUGUCAAGCAAUGCUAGGGGGACAAACACACACACAUAUAUAUAUAUAUACGACGGGCUUCUUUCAGUUUCCGUCUACCAAAUUAUAUAUAAAGAUAUAUAUUAUAUAUACAUUAUAUUACCAUCAUCAUUUAACAUCUGUUCUCCAUGCUGGCAUGGGUUGGGCAGUUUGACAAGAAUUGGCAGGCCAGAGGGCUGUUGUCUGCCAAGUUCUGUUGUCCAUUUUGGCUUGGUUUCUAUGGCUGGAUGCCCUUCCUUGUGCUGACCACUUUACAGAGUGUACUGGGCGUUUUUUUUUUUUUCAUGGGAUUAGCACCAGUGGGGGUCAUCAAGUAACUUCUAAGAUAAGACAAAUCCCCCUCGGUUGGGUCGGGGGAGGGGGUAGUAUUGAGGGAAGUGGCUUUGUGCCAGUUGAUAAUGGAUUAAAAAGGAUAAUAGAGGGAUUAGGGAUUAUGUGUCUUGCUGUAGAAGAGAUACAAGGAAAUCCCAGCCGGAGGAGAAGGGAGAUGGAGACUUAGCGGAAAAGACAGAGAUGGAGAGGGUGGGGGAGAUGGCGGUGGAUGUGUUUGAGGACAAGGUGUAGUGGGGAGGGGGUGAAUGUAGGGGAAAUGGUACAGGGGAUUGAUCUGUAUGAGGGGACAGAGGGGGAAAUGGAGAAAAUUCCAUAAGAAUGUGACAAAGGACAGUUAGAUGGGAUAGAAGUAUCUGUAGCAAUUGAAGGUGAGAGAUAUCCGGGGGGGGGGCAGCAUGGGGGAGGAGGGUUAUGUUAUCUGUGAAGACAUUGGGAGAGAUAGGGGAUAGGGGACAUGUUAAGGAUGGAUGGAGAGUGGAGAGAGAGAGUAUGCCUGGAGGAAGAUAAUGAGGAAUGGAGGUGGUUCUAAGGAUCAAGUCUAGUGGAGGGGAGAGAUAGAGAGAGAGAGAGACUUUCUUUAUUCACCAUAAGGUUGUGAAAAAGAGGGGACAAUAUGGGGGGGGGGACAGACAAAACAAACGUUGGGGUCAGGGUAUCGAAUGAGCCGAAACUAUAUGAAUAAACAAACAAUUAAAAUAUAUACAAUUAAAUGAGAAUGAGUGAUUAACAAAAAAUGAAACGGAGGACGUGGUUGACCCCACAAACCACAGACUCACACUGAAGACUUUGCUUUCUCCUUUUUUACAUUCUCGAUUAAACAGGUUCUUUCACUCACAACAUACUUGCUAUAGACUUCCAUCUUUUACAAAACACACUUUGGGACAGGCAUUUCUUCUCCAGCCUUAUUUUCCGUUUCAUGUGGAAGAGAGAAAGAGUAUGGCUGGAGGAAGAUAACAAGGAAUAUAAGUUAUGAUCGCUUGAGAACAGAAUCAGUACAUAUUAUUCCCCACCCCCGCUUCCUUUCGUAAUCUAUCAACAUCAAUGGAAUUUGUAGCUGUGAUACCAGUGCCGGUGGCAUGUGAGAGAACCAUCCGAACAUGGCCGUAGCCAGCACCACCCGACUGGCCUCCGUGCUGGUGGCACGUAACAAACACCAUCCGACCGUGGCCGUUGCCAGCCUUGUCUGGUCGCUGUGCCGGUGGCACAUAAAAAGCACCAUCCGAUCAUGGCCAUUUGCCAGCCUCGUCUGGCACGUAAAAAGCACCCACUACACUCACGGAGUGGUUGGGGUUAGGAAGGGCAUCCAACUGUAGAAACAUUGCCAGAUCAGACUGGGCCUGGUGCAGCCUUCUGGCUUCCCAGACCCCAGUUGAACCGUCCAACCCAUGCCAGCAUGGAAAGUGGACGUUAAACGAUGAUGAUGAUGAUAUUACCCCCUCCUCCUCCUCGCCUGGAUACUUCUAUCCCUUAUUCUCAUCCGCUAUUCCUUUCCUGUACGAUCCUCACAGAACAUCUCUUUUCUGCUUUCAAACAGCUCUCUCCCCUGCACCAUACUCCAUCUCACCACCUCACGUAUCUGCUCUCAUUCUCAUCAACCUCAUAGAUCCACCAUCAUGCUCCAUUCACCAUACAAACCCCGUAUGUAUCCCCACAUCUCUCCCUCUGUCAUUUCUAUACCUUGCACAUUAUCCUCCUUUCUGAGGACAGCUGCAUAAAGAAGUACCAAUUGCUUAAAGUGGGUGCAACUAGUGGAAGAGGGAGUCCCAGGAAGACAUGAGGUGGAGUGGUAAAGGCAGACCACAAAAUGCUGAGUCUCAUGGAGAUGACGAAUGAUUGAGAUGAUUGAUGAUUUGCAUGAGGCUUAGCAUUUUGUGCUCUGCCUUCACUGCUCCACUUCAUGUCCUCCUGAGACUCUCUCUUCCACAAGUUGCAUCCACUUUAAGCAAUUGGUAGCUUCUUUAUGUUUGGAGGUGCAUGGCUUAGUGGUUAGGGUGUCAGCAUCAUGAUCGUAAGAUUGUGGCUUCGAUUCCUGGACCGGGCAACGCGUUGUGUUCUUGGGCAAAACACUUCGUUUCACGUUGCUCCAGUCCACUCAGCUGGCAAAAAUGAGUAACACUGCAACGGACUGGCGUCCCAUCCAGCUGGGGAAGACAUACGCCAUUGAAACUGGGAAACCAGGCCUAUGAGCCUGGCUAGGCUUUAAAAAGGCACAUAAUAUAUAUAUAUAUAUAUGUAUACAUACUGCAUAGGUUACAUAUAUCAUAUCAUACCUUGAUGCCAGUGCUGUGUAAACAUACCCAUGUGAAUCUGUGUGAAUGCACCCAUGCUGGCAGCAUGUAAAAAGCACCCAGCACACUCUUUUUUUGUUAUGCCUGGUACUUACUCUGUCGAUCUCUUUUGCUGAACCGCUAAGUCACGGAGAUGUAAACACAUCAAUACCAGUUGUCAAGCAGUGAGUGGGUUGGGGGUGGGGACAAGCACAGACAUAAAGACACACACACAUACAGAUAUAUAUAUAUGACAGGCUUCUUUCAGUUUCCGUCUUGCAAAUCCACUCACAAGGCUUUGGACAGCCCGAGGCUAUAGUAGAAGACACUUAACCAAAGUGCCAUGUAGUGGGACUGAACCCAGAACCAGAUGAUUGGGAAGUAAGCUUCUUACUACACAGCCAUGCCUGCCUAAUUUUUCUCUCAAUCCCUUAACCCUUUGUCAUAUAUGCACACUGAUAUUGCACAUCCAGCUGAGCAUACCAGAUUCGUUCCUCACUAGUCUCUACAUGUCCUCUGCAUUUAGGGCCCGUGUCUCCGUACCAUGUAGCAUUACUGUUUGUACAUAAACAUCAUACCAUCUACUUUUCAUUCUGAGAGAGACAGAGAGAGACCUUUCAUAGCCAACAGAGAUAAUAGCUCACUGAACUUUCUCCAUCUUAGCAACUAUACAUUUAGAAACUCCACCUUCACUGCUAAUUAAUUAGGUCACCUAGGUAACUGAGAUUAUCUACUACCUCUAGGGAGCCUCCAGGGUAUUCAAGAAAAUCUAUUUCUUGUUUUCUUGUGUGUCCUUAGCGUCUUCCACAUCCAAACACUACUUCCUCCUUUAAACAUCGGAUGACAGUCUCUGACACCUGACAGCUUUGUUUUUAUACCAAACCAACAUAAGUAGUAUUAAGAUGCUCCUCAUAUGCAUUUAGAUGUGGUGGGCUUGGACCCCUUACUAGGAUGCAGGUUGACAGGUCACCUAAGCCAAUGUCUUACAAGGAGUUGCAAUGUGGUAAAUGACUGAGACAGAAGCCUAAUAAAAACAGUUUAGGGAUCUUGUCAAAAACAAUCUCAACCCCUUAGUAUUUAAACUGACCAUAUCAGCAAAAAAGAGGUGUAUAUAAGGUAUAUUUUUGUGGUGUAGUUUGCGCGAAAGAUUUUCAAUUUUUAGGAGUAAUUAUUAUAUAGAUAUUAUCAAAAGUAUUUAGUUUUAUUAGUAUAAAGAGUAUGGUUGUUUUCCAAACAAUUGGUUUAAAUAUUAUUUA